CCUACGGGACGCAGCAGUGAGGAAUAUUGGUCAAUGGGCGAGAGCCUGAACCAGCCAAGUCGCGUGAGGGAUGACUGCCCUACGGGUUGUAAACCUCUUUUGUAUGGGGGGAAUAAGCUUUACGAGUAGAGUGAUGACAGUACCAUACGAAUAAGCAUCGGCUAACUCCGUGCCAGCAGCCGCGGUAAUACGGAGGAUGCGAGCGUUAUCCGGAUUACUUGGGUUUAAAGGGUGCGUAGGCGCCGUUAUAAGUUG
rnacentral:rRNA from 1 species